UACGGGGGGUGCGAGCGUUAAUCGGGAUAACUGGGCGUAAAGGGCACGCAGGCGGACUUUUAAGUGAGGUGUGAAAUCCCCGGGCUUAACCUGGGAAUUGCAUUUCAUACUGGGAGUCUAGAGUACUUUAGGGAGGGGUAGGGUUCCACGUGUAGCGGUGAAAUGCGUAGAGACGUGGAGGAAUACCGAAGGCGAAGGCAGCCCCUUGGGAAUGUACUGACGCUCAUGUGCGAAAGCGUGGGGAGCAAACAGG
rnacentral:rRNA from 1 species